GACGAACCUUGCUAACGUUAUUCGGAAUUACUGGGCUUAAAGGGUGCGUAGGCGGUGCGGAAAGUUGGGUGUGAAAGCCCUCGGCUCAACCGAGGAAUUGCGCCCAAAACUACCGUGCUUGAGGGAGAUAGAGGUGAGCGGAACUUAGGGUGGAGCGGUGAAAUGCGUUGAUAUCCUAAGGAACACCGGUGGCGAAAGCGGCUCACUGGAUCUCUUCUGACGCUGAGGCACGAAAGCUAGGGUAGCGAACGGG
rnacentral:rRNA from 1 species